GUUUUUAUAGUAUAAUUAGUACAUUUGACUUCCAAUCAAAAAGCUUGAUCUUAAUCAAUAAAAACA
rnacentral:tRNA from 1 species